rnacentral:rRNA from 1 species
UACGUAGGGGGCAAGCGUUGUCCGGAAUCAUUGGGCGUAAAGAGCGUGUAGGCGGCCCGAUAAGUCCGCUGUGAAAGUCCAGGGCUCAACCCUGGAAUGCCGGUGGAUACUGUCGGGCCCGAGUUCGGAAGAGGUGAGUGGAAUUCCUGGUGUAGCGGUGAAAUGACGCAGAUAUCAGGAGGAACACCAAUGGCGAAGGCAGCUCACUGGGACGAUACUGACGCUGAGACGCGAAAGCGUGGGGAGCAAACAGG